UUGCCUUUCCGAUGGCAGUUGUUUGCCUUGGUGCUGUGGUUUGGUUCACAUCUGCUCCCCACCAUCAGCCUUUAGGUUCCCUGUGCUGUCUGUGCAUGGUACAGUGCCCGGCACGCAGUAAGAGCCAAGCGGGACUUGGUGAAUGGGAAGAGUGCCCUGAACAGGGCAGGAGGUCACGGUCCUCCCUGGGGUGGGGGAGGGGCUGACCCUCAGCCUCGCCUUCCGUAACUGUCUGCCUUAGUGUCGCAGCACAGUGAUGCGAGAGCCAGGAGCACUUUGAUCCGAGUGAGGACUCCUUUGCCGCCCAUUCCUCUGUCAUGGCCUUGACCGCUGCCUGUGAGGCAAGACUUAGGGCUUAUCAGAGAGAUAUGGACAUCACUUCUGCUUUACAGAAGAGAAAACAGAUACAGAGAAGAAAACUUGCCCAAGUUCACUCACCUGAUAAGUGGUGCAGGGUUCUUUGUUUCACCUGUCUCUGCUACAUCAACCUACUCUGCUGCUGCUGAGGACAUGGAGGUCAGAGUUGAGGCCGAACAAGGAAGUUGGCAGAUGAAAGGUACCUGGGGUCAACAUGGUACAGCAAGAGAUGCAGGACAAUUGCACCUGGCCCCCGACUGUAACUUGCUGAUCACCUUGAUGAGAAGGAUAAGAAGCUAUGGAUUUCAUCUGGCAGAGGAGCUGUAGCACCAAAGCGAGUGUCAGCAAAGGUGGCUGAUUAAUAAAUAUUGGACACUCAGUGUGUAUUAAAUGUGCUAUGAUUAUUUCAAAGCUCAGGUGCCUCAUGGAUAUUCAGUGAGUUACAAAUGUUUGAUACCUCUUGAUCUCUCCAUCUCUUCCUAUGUCCAGCACUCAAACACUAUACCUUAUGGAGGCUAACAUGUCUCUAUAAGUUACUACUUUGUUUAUAUAUAAGAGGGUAUUUUAAAAAUUUUAUGGAAAAAUGGGAUGAAAAAUAUAAGUUUAUUUUGGUUAAAAUUUUUUGAAAUUUAUGCAUAAUUUUUUGGUGGAACAUGCCGUUUCCAUGAAGUUUGUGAAGCUCACUCAUACUUAGUGAAGUCUGCCUGUGUCUCAUAAAUUAUAUGUUCUCUACUGAGCUUCAUUUAUUCUUCCUGCUUGUGGUUCUUAUUUUCUCUAGCAGGGCUGGAUAUAUUAAACAGUACAACACAGAUUCUCGAAGGGGAAUGGUGGUAGAGAGUCUGUGGAUGCACUGGUGGGUGGUGGAACCUUCUGGAAUAAGGGAUACUUAGAGGCUAGUAGAAUGCAAGGAAAGUGUGAGAUUCGGGAGUGAGAUGGGGCUUUAACCCAGCUCCAUUGGUGACUGCAGACAGGUUCCUAACCACUCCUACCAUCAGUUUCUCCAUGUGAAAAGGACAUAACCAUACCCCUCCUCCACUGUUGGACAGGAUAAUGAAAUGCCAUCUCAGGCAUCAGCACAAGCCCUGGCUUGCAGCAAAAUCUCCGAAAUUGACAUUUUAAAAUGAAUAAAGGAUCCACUCCCUUCCUGUUGUUUGUAAACCCCAUUUCUAACUGUCCCAAAGAGCAUGGCUUCACUUACCCACGGACACUUUCCAACCAAGUAUCUGCUGGAAGAGUGAAUCCAGAACAGACAUACUAGAGGCUCUGUGCCUUGCUACUGUGUCUUCAUGGUACAGCCAAGGAGGGAAGCACACGUACACUGGAGGCUUGAUUUACCCAGGUGGGAGCAUAGGCUCUGGCAAGCUUUCCCACAGGUGAGCCUUGAGCUAAAAUUUGCAGUGAUUGGCAUCAGCUAAUUCGAUCAUAUAAACUGGGAGAGGAAGGGGGGAGUCCUGCCCCAGGUAGAGGGACGGACGUAGCAGUGGUGAGGAGGGCUGAAGGUGAGAGCCUUGCACUCAGCGAGUCAGGUAAGUCAGCCUGGCUCCAGGAUGGGGGCCAUUGUUGGGUGACUUCUGGGCACAUGUGGGCCAGCCCUGAA